UGCACCUCUACAAAUAUCUAAACUCAUAGGGGGCAACUCGAAAAUUUCCUCCAACCGAUUCUGACCCGCGAACCGGGCCGGUGGAGUUGAACCGUUUCUAGGACCAACGCCAACCCCUUGGGGGCGCCGAAAGCGGGCAACGAAUGGGGGAAGCGGAAGGCGGCCGCCGGCGGCAACGCGGCGUCGUCGACGGCGCCGCUGGGGGCGCUGUCGCCGAAGAUGGGAACGCUGCUGAAAUGCCGGUGGAAGGAUGCGGAGCCUCACUUCCGGCGAGAUCAUCGAAAGCCGGCAGACGCCUUCCGGCGAACCCCACAACUUCGAGCACUAUGUCCACUACUCCAGUGAGGCUUGAUGAAUAGAUUAAGCUUGAGCAGCUGGAUCUUAGUUCAGUGGAUACUGAUGUGUAUGGAAAGGCCACAAGAAUGAGGACACGGCACCAGAAAUGGAAGAUGGAGGAAGCAAGCGCGGAGAAACAGCCUCUCCAUUCAGCAUAGUAGGGAUGCCAAAGAGACCACUUUCUGAUCUAGGACCGCAUAGUUACCAGUCGUACUGGACUAGGGUUCUUUCAAAUGCCCUGGAAGAGCACAAAAGUGAUACUGGUAUCUCCGUCAGGGUAAGCAUCCUUUUGCACUUUCAUUCAUGUUCAUUUUUCAUUUUUAAAAGUUAGUGUUUGUCCCUUCUAUUCUAGAAUUAAACAAAAGAAAAUUUUUGUCUAUGUCAGGAUAUUCUUAUUCACAAUAUAGCAAUGAUCACUCAUGUUGGAUUUUGUUAGCAUUACUGCUACCAUUAUUUUGCAGACUAUUGAAUUUUGAAGUUAUGCAAAUGCAUUAGUCAUUCUCUGGUAUAUAUAUAUAGUUUGUUUUUGCCACAUCAAGUGCAGCAUCUUAUUCAAAAAGUCAAGAUUGCUCACAGCCAGUUAGUUAAGCAGACAUUUCCACCAUUUGGAAGGCUUAAGUUGAGAGUGGCACAUGCAUACCAUAGGCCUCUCCCUUCUCUUUCUAAUUUGUGGAAAUAAUGUUUAUCUUAAAAAUUGUAAUCAAGUAUCAAGUUUGUCUGCUGAUUUCUUAGUUAAACGUGUUAUUAUUUUUUAACUUUUGUCAUUACAUCAACCUAGAAAAGUAAAGGGGAAACUGAUGCAGA